GGGUCAGUAGGUUGGUCGUGCCACCGGUACGUACUGGUCUCACUGAUUCCUCCUUCCUGAAUAACCGUAAUGCCAUUAAUUUGGUGUUGCGGGGAAGCAGGACUGUUACUUUGAAAAAAUUAGAGUGUUUAAAGCAAGCUAACGCUUGAAUACAUUAGCACGGAAUAAUGAAAUAGGACGAUCGAUCCUAUUUUGUUGGUUUCUAGGAUUGACGUA
rnacentral:rRNA from 1 species